rnacentral:snRNA from 1 species
AUACUCACUUCAGCUGUACAUGUACUAAAAUCAGAACAUAACAGAGAAGACUAGCAUGACCUCUGUGCAAAGAUGAUAGGCAAAUUCAUGAAGUAUUUCUUACUUUG